rnacentral:rRNA from 1 species
ACUAACAAGGAUUCCCCUAGUAACUGCGAGUGAAGCGGGAAAAGCUCAAAUUUAAAAUCUGGCGGUCUCAGGCCGUCCGAGUUGUAAUCUAGAGAAGUGUUAUCCGCGCUGGACCGUGUACAAGUCUCCUGGAAUGGAGCGUCAUAGAGGGUGAGAAUCCCGUCUUUGACACGGACUGCCAGGGCUUUGUGAUGCGCUCUCAAAGAGUCGAGUUGUUUGGGAAUGCAGCUCAAAAUGGGUGGUAAAUUCCAUCUAAAGCUAAAUAUUGGCGAGAGACCGAUAGCGAACAAGUACCGUGAGGGAAAGAUGAAAAGAACUUUGGAAAGAGAGUUAAACAGUACGUGAAAUUGCUGAAAGGGAAACGCUUGAAGUCAGUCGCGUUGGCCGGGGAUCAACCUUGCUUUUGCUGGGUGUACUUCCCGGUCGACGGGUCAGCAUCAAUUUUGACCGUUGGAUAAAGUCUGAGGGAAUGUGGCAUCUCCGGAUGUGUUAUAGCCCUCGGUCGCAUACAACGAUUGGGAUUGAGGAACUCAGCACGCCGAAAGGCCGGGUACUUGUACCACGUUCGUGCUUAGGAUGCUGGCAUAAUGGCUUUAAUCGACCCGUCUUGA